rnacentral:rRNA from 1 species
AAUAGAUACCCGGGUAGUCCACGCCGUAAACGAUGAGUGCUAAGUGUUAGAGGGUUUCCGCCCUUUAGUGCUGAAGUUAACGCAUUAAGCACUCCGCCUGGGGAGUACGGCCGCAAGGCUGAAACUCAAAGGAAUUGACGGGGGCCCGCACAAGCGGUGGAGCAUGUGGUUUAAUUCGAAGCAACGCGAAGAACCUUACCAGGUCUUGACAUCCUCUGACAACCCUAGAGAUAGGGCUUCUCCUUCGGGAGCAGAGUGACAGGUGGUGCAUGGUUGUCGUCAGCUCGUGUCGUGAGAUGUUGGGUUAAGUCCCGCAACGAGCGCAACCCUUGAUCUUAGUUGCCAUCAUUCAGUUGGGCACUCUAAGGUGACUGCCGGUGACAAACCGGAGGAAAGUGGGGAUGACGUCAAAUCAUCAUGCCCCUUAUGACCUGGGCUACACACGUGCUACAAUGGACGGUACAAAGAGCUGCAAGACCGCGAGGUGGAGCUAAUCUCAUAAAACCGUUCUCAGUUCGGA